rnacentral:tRNA from 1 species
GCCAACGUAGCUCAGUGGUAGAGCAGCUGUUUCGUAAACAGCAGGUCGUGAGUUCGAAUCUCUCCGUUGGCUCCA